GAUGAACGCUGGCGGCGUGCCUAAUACAUGCAAGUCGAGCGAACGGACGAGAAGCUUGCUUCUCUGAUGUUAGCGGCGGACGGGUGAGUAACACGUGGAUAACCUACCUAUAAGACUGGGAUAACUUCGGGAAACCGGAGCUAAUACCGGAUAAUAUUUUGAACCGCAUGGUUCAAAAGUGAAAGACGGUCUUGCUGUCACUUAUAGAUGGAUCCGCGCUGCAUUAGCUAGUUGGUAAGGUAACGGCUUACCAAGGCAACGAUGCAUAGCCGACCUGAGAGGGUGAGCGCCAACGUUGGAACGGAGCAAGGGACCGGACACCGAGGGGGGGCGGAAGGGGGAAAUCUUCAGAAAUGGGCGAAAGCUGGAAGGAGAAACGCCGCGUGAGGAAGAAGGGUGUUGGAAGCGAAAAACUGUUUUAUUGGGAAAAAAAAUAUGGGAAAGUAACUGUACAAAUCUUGACGGUACAAAAUAAGAAACCCACGGAAAACUACGUG
rnacentral:rRNA from 1 species